GUGGCGUAGGUACCUACUCAGAUGUGUUCUUUCCUUCGUGGCUACUUCUUUCUCUUUUCUUGGACGUUUUCGUUCUAGGUAUUAAAUUUUUGCUUGCCAAAUUCGUUUUUAUAUCAAUUUGUAUUUUGUGAGUUUCGUGUAAGUGAGAUCAUUUUUUUUUUCGAAAGCUUGAGCCGAACAAUGGGCUGCGUAAAUAUUCAUAAACUGUUAUUUACUUCGUUCUUCUUGAUACAGACGGUUAAUUUUUCUAUGUGUUCUCUAAAAACUUUUCGUUGCCGUAACGGACAAUACUAUAUAUCUUCUGAUUUCUUUUGUGAUGGAGAUAGAGAUUGUAAUGACGGAAGUGAUGAAGAAUCUGGGUGUCGCGAGUGACGAUUGUGGCCGAAAAAGCUUCGCAUGUGCUGAUAAUAGCCGUUGCGUGCAUCCUAACGUCCUGUGCGAUAAAAAUAGCGAUUGCAACGAUGGAUCCGAUGAACUGAAUUGUGGUAAUGAAUGAUACCUAUGUAAUUCUAUGUACCUAAUUCGAAACAAAUGUUUUUUUAUUCCGCUGCAACAUUUCAUAAAAUGUUGUGGGAAUUUCAAGUUUCAAAAAUCUGGUGGAGACUAUAGUAAUUUUCAAAAAGUCGCUGGAGGCUCCAAAAUGACUUGAACUUACCUGAAGUUAUCUUCAGAGGAUGUCAAACUUGGAGUGCAAAGUAAAGGAGGAGUCCCGAUAAGGCCACUUUUUGGGCCACGCACAGUUAUCAACUCGACUACUCUUAAAAUGUUGUAAUAAAUGCCCCAAAUACGAAUCCGUGGUCAGUUAACCCAAAAUGACCAUUUUUUGGGCUCCAGGGGUUCCCAAAGUUGCGAAUAAAAAAAGAAUUUUAAGAACCACUGAGUAUUAUUUUCAAAAACUUUUUAGGCGUA